rnacentral:rRNA from 1 species
AUUCGCCCUUAGAGUUUGAUCCUGGCUCAGGACUAACGCUGGCGGCGUGCCUAAUACAUGCAAGUCGAACGGUCGUGCGUUUGUAGCAAUAUGGACGUACGAUAGUGGCGAACGGGUGAGUAACACGUGGAAAACCUACCCUCGAGCGGGGGAUAACUCCGGGAAACUGGGGCUAAUACCGCAUGACAUCCCAACCUGGCAUCGGGAGGGGAUCAAAGCCGAAAGGCACUUGAGGAUGGUUCCGCGGCCUAUCAGCUAGUUGGCGGGGUAACGGCCCACCAAGGCGACGACGGGUAGCCGGCCUGAGAGGGCGAUCGGCCACAAGGGGACUGAGACACGGCCCCUACUCCUACGGGAGGCAGCAGUAGGGAAUUUUGCUCAAUGGGGGAAACCCUGAAGCAGCGACGCCGCGUGGGCGACGAAAUCCUUCGGGAUGUAAAGCCCUUUUAACCGGGACGAAAUACAUGACGGUACCGGUGGAAUAAGCCUCGGCUAACUCCGUGCCAGCAGCCGCGGUAAGACGGGGGAGGCAAGCGUUGUCCGGAAUCACUGGGUGUAAAGGGCGUGUAGGCGGGCCGGCUAGUCGGUUGUUAAAUCUCUCCGCUCAACGGAGAAGCUGCGGCCGAUACUUCCGGUCUUGAGUGCGGCAGGGGAGGAUGGAAUUCCUGGUGUAGCGGUGAAAUGCGUAGAUAUCAGGAGGAACACCGGUGGCGAAGGCGGUCCUCUGGGCCUGCACUGACGCUGAGUGCGCGAAAGCUGGGGUAGCAAACAGAAUUAGAUACUCUGGUAGUCCCAGCCCUAAACGAUGG